UACGUAGGGGGCGAGCGUUGUCCGAAGUUACUGGGCGUAAAGCGCGCGUAGGCGGGGGAUUAAGUGAGAGGUGAAAGGCUGGGGCUCAACCUCAUGCAGUGCCUCUCAUACUGGUUCUCUUGAGGGCGGUAGGGAGAAGUGGAAUGGCUGGUGUAGCGGUGAAAUGCGCAGAUAUCAGGAGGAACACCGGUGGCGAAGGCGGGUCUCUGGGCAGUAACUGACGCUGAGGAGCGAAAGCGUGGGGAGCGAACAGG
rnacentral:rRNA from 1 species